UACGGAGGGUGCAAGCGUUAUCCGGAUUCACUGGGUUUAAAGGGUGCGUAGGUGGGUUGGUAAGUCAGUGGUGAAAUCCCCCGAGCUUAACUUGGGAACUGCCAUUGAUACUAUCAAUCUUGAAUACUGUGGAGGUCAGCGGAAUAUGUCAUGUAGCGGUGAAAUGCUUAGAUAUGACAUAGAACGCCAAUUGCGAAGGCAGCUGGCUACACAAUUAUUGACACUGAGGCACGAAAGCGUGGGGAUCAAACAGG
rnacentral:rRNA from 1 species